GUAAAUAUUGCAGGGAUAAGUUAACAUUGCAGUCUCAAUCUCCACCCAACCCACACAGUAUCUCAAGGCAGGCAGAUUAUCUUCAUCUACAUUAUGAUCUCUUCAGCUCAAUGGAAUGACCAGAAAACCCAAUAAGAAAACAAACAGCACAUGGCAGCUCUGGGGAAGCUGUGCACAAAUGCCGGCAGAGGUGUGUUCUCUUUCACCUGGCAAGCAAUCUUGGACACCCUGAAGCAUGAAGACUAAUAGGCCUGCACAGCUGAGAAAAUACUUUUCUUCAUGGGAACACCUAGUCUUUCUUGUCCUUUACCAUGCUUUCAUGGUUUUGAAAUGUUGCUGUCAAUAUUCCAGAUUAAAACAUCAUGUGCAGUAUGGAUCAUUAAGAAGGUUCAUACUACAGUUCUGUGGAAUAACAAUGUCCUGAGUUCUUCAGAUCUCAGAAGAGAACUACGUAUCCCGGAAGACAUCGUGGCCAGGGAUAAGUCAUGGGAGGAGGACAUACAUAAUCUCUCUCCCAGGCUGGAGCUCUCUCAGACUCUCAGAGUGGGAAGCAUUCCAGCUAUGUCACCUAGAGUUCACAGUAGGCCUCUUGGUUUUAGGGGACUCCCUCUCUGUUUUAUUCAAUUUAUUAGCCUUAAUCAUAUCGUAUUAUAUUGUGCUAUCUUGUAUUCUGUUAUCAUAUUUAGUAAAAUAAGUUUUCUUCCUUAGAUCACCACUGCUGUUCUCUUUUCCCAUUUCCCUUUUCCCUACUACCAGCUAUGAAUCUACUCUCCAUUCCAACUGCUCUGUUUAAGGGGUUGAAACCAAUUAUGAUCAUCUCAAUGUAUUGGCCAAUUGUCAAUCCCAUGAUUUAUUGUUGUGGAAUUGUGUUCAUAUAUUACCAAAUAAGGGCACUGAUGGAGACACCUGCCUGGUACUUAUAUGUGAUGUGGUAUAAUUUGAAUUCUGGCACUUACCUCCCAGAUGGAAUAGCUAAUUUUACAAACACUUGCAUCCCAAUUGGCAUAGCCAAUUUUACAAACACUACUAUAUUUAAUCCAGUGUACAGGCUGUCUUCUCAGAUUGCUGCAUGCUUUUCAAUAGCCGAGUUAGUGUUCAUACUCAUGUUUAUGUUAUCAAUAUCAAUGCAUGUAUAUGUAUUCCAAUACAUUUGUUCUAUGCAGAAGUCUCCUCCAGAACCAGAGAAUACUGACUGGCAGGGAAUAUGGAAAGGUUCAGGAAAAAUCUUAGAAGCGUGGGGACCUGCAGUGUCGUGGGAUUUCACUCUUGAACACCUGAGGGACCCUGAGAAAUUAAGUGAGUAUUUGAGUCAGAGAUGGUGCGGCUUACAGAGAUCUAAGGAGGUAAACCUUAUUUGGGGUUUGGCUUAUGCAUACUGUGCUCUGUAUAAUACUAUUCUGGAAAGAGAGAGAGAUUCUGUUCUGACAUUCAAGCCACAAAAGAUAAUCCCCAGGUGAAUGCUGAUCAAUCACAGGAGGCACCAGUAACAAUAUCAGUUGCCCCUGUGGAAGGCAAGAAAUGGAAAUGGGUGUCCUCAUGUCUAGAACGGAAAAAAGAAGUGGAGGAGGAGGCAGCAGAAGAUCCAGGUGAUGGGUCUGGAUCAGCACUGCGAAAGGCAAAAGAACAAACUAAGAGCCAUGAAAGAGAGAGUGAUGAGGAAGAAAUUGCUGUUACUGUUUGUUGACCUCUGAAGGUGACUGAAAUCCAAGGCUCAAGAAAGGAGUUUACACGGCGUCAA